CACAUUCAGCUGCAGGAGGGUUUUUGUUUCACUCAUUCUCAUUGUGGGAUGGGGAUGGCUACAGGGUCUUUGGUUCUGGGACCAAACUGUAUCUAACAGAGCGGAAGGUAGUGAAGCCCGUGGUGAGCGUGUACCCAGCAGCCUCCAGAGAUCCCCUGAAGAACCACCUGCUGUGUGUGGCCUCAGCCAUGUUCCCUCCUGAGGUCCAGUUCUCCUGGAAAAGACUGAAGCAGAACGGCGGCCUGGAGGAGCUGAAUUCCAGAGAGGGAGAGCAGCUGGAGCUCAGAGAGUCGGGACGCUCCACCUCCAUCUUGGUGCUCGGUCAGCAUGAUCCUGAAACACAAUAUCGCUGCUCCGUGAAGCACGAGGGAGGAACAGUGGAGGCUGAAACAGAGCAAGUCAUAGAGGUCACUGCCCCUCCGUCUACUGCUCCAUCGACUCUUCCUCCUUCUUCGACUCCUCGUCUUCCUUCUACUCCUCCUCCUCCUCCUCCUCCUCCAGCCGUCCCUCCACCACUCUGGUCCAGAGAGAGGCUGCUCUGCCUGCAGUACACAGUGCUGAUAGUGAAGAGUGUGGUCUACUGCUUUGGACUCUCUCUGAUGAUGAUCCUCAGAAACAAAGGACCGUCCACCAGCUCCACACAUGCUGACUGACCUCCAAGAGCUUUGACGUCUCACUCACACCUGCUGGGAAACUCAAACAUGUUUUCUGUCAUCAACUGUAAAGAACAACAAAGAUUAUCUUGAAAGAAUCUUCCUCCUGAACACAUGUAGAAAACACAGAGAAGAAGAAUAGAAAGAGGAACUUCAGUUCAGUCAGUAUUUUAAACAAAGAAACUAAUGACAUAUUUCUCUGCUUUUCCUUUUCAUGAUAUUGUUUCUCAGUGUUAAACUUUGUUUACAUUUCCUCAGUGUUACUUUCAGAA